rnacentral:rRNA from 1 species
UACAGAGGGGGCAAGCGUUGUUCGGAAUUACUGGGCGUAAAGGGCGCGUAGGCGGCCUGUUAAGUCGAACGUGAAAUCCCCGGGCUCAACCCGGGAACUGCGUCCGAUACUGGCAGGCUUGAAUCCGGGAGAGGGAUGCGGAAUUCCAGGUGUAGCGGUGAAAUGCGUAGAUAUCUGGAGGAACACCGGUGGCGAAGGCGGCAUCCUGGACCAAUAUUGACGCUGAGGAGCGAAGCCAGGGAGCAAAACGGGG